AAUGGCUUGAAUUGUGAUCUUGUUUGUAUAUCCACUUUGUUUGUGAUUAAAUUUCAAAUGGCAUGCAUUGUCUACAGGAAGAGAAUUGAACCAUAUUGGCAAAAUGCUUUUGAUUUAUUUUUCUCUUUUAGCUCUUUUAGACUUGAACAUCUUGAUAUCAGUGAUAUAGGAUCUUAUACAUAAAAAAAACUACUUCUGUUUAUCUGAUUUAGUUUGUAUUGUCAAGGUACUCUAGUAUGUUUGAAAAUGAGGUAAAGAUUGCUUGUCUUGUUUGUCGCGACUGUUGUGAUUGCAAAGCAUGUUCUAGAAGUCUAGCUAAAGAUGGUUAUAAGGUUUACUUACUUUUAACAUGCAAAGUUUUAUGAACAUUAUUUACUCUGAGAAUGUUUUGUCACGAAAGUUUCCAUUUAUGUGAUCUUCAGGAUCUUGAAAUUGUUUAGGAGCAUAGGAAACUGAGUAUGUCGAUAGUGAUGAGAUUUGUCUUGUCGAUGUGACAACUGUCUACCCUGUUAGUCAUGGACAAUUGGAUUGUCCGACUUGUUCUCCUCUUGGAGCAAAAGAAGACUGGCAUAAGGAACUGGCAAAUGGUCAAAACAAGUUUAAUAAUAAGGAGCACACAUAUAGCUUGAUAUCUGAAUUGCUUCCCUUGCUAAAACAUAUCUAUCAGAACAAAUUAAAUGAGCUGGAAGUAAAGCAAGGGGAUCAACGUAAGCUUCAAAACAAUUUCCUAGUUUCUUCCUCCAGUUAGAUAUCCUCUUGAUCGAUCUAUCAUCCAGAAGGUGGAUUUUCUGGUGUACUUCUUCGAGUAUAUGAGCCUCACAAUGAGCUUGUUAACUGUAAUUAUUACAAGACUUCACUAGUGGAUUUUCACAGAAGCUGCUCAAAUUUCUCUUACAAACUUUUCUUAGAUUGUUGCGAAAAGAUAGUAAAGGGAACUGCUUCUCAGACACCUGCAAUUGAUUCCUCCAAGGCUGGUAGGAGACAAAGGGCAAAGAAGUAUGUCAUCAGAGAAAUUGUUGGGAAAAGACGGAGACGUUCCACAGGCGAGCGACCAGAUAACUCAUCUUUAUCCACCGUUGAGUCUGAUAGCAAGGCUAAGAAUCAUGGAAGCAACAUUCCUUGCCCAUCCAAGGAAUCUGGAG